AGGACUAACGCUGGCGGCGUGCCUAACACACGCAAGUCGAACGAGGUAGCAAUACCUAGUGGCAGACGGGUGAGUAACACGUAGUCAACCUUCCCGAUAGUGGGGGAUAACUAGCCGAAAGGUUAGCUAAUACCGCAUACGAUCUUCGAGUGGCAUCAUUUGAAGAUGAAAGGAGCAAUCCGCUUUCGGACGGGACUGCGUCCCAUUAGCUAGAUGGUGGGGUAAUGGCCUACCAUGGCAACGAUGGGUAGCUGGUUUGAGAGAGCGACCAGCCACACUGGGACUGAGAAACGGCCCAGACUCCUACGGGAGGCAGCAGUGAGGAAUUUUCCGCAAUGGGCGAAAGCCUGACGGAGCGACGCCGCGUGUGGGAAGAAGGCCUUCGGGUCGUAAACCACUGUCGAAGGGGAAAUACUGAUGGUACCCUUGGAGGAAGCCCGGCUAACUACGCGCCAGCAGCCGC
rnacentral:rRNA from 1 species